GUUAUUUUUAUAGUUGUUCGUGAGGGAAUGCGACACGAGCCAGUGUAACAUGUGUAACGGAAAAAAUAGUGGAAAAAAAACUGUGCAAAAUUGAAAAAUAGGAUUCUAAAAGAAUUGAUUAUAAUUUUUGUUAUAUUUCAUUAAAUUAGAUAUUGUGAUUAAAAACGGAAUGAUUUUAAGGAAAAUCGUUUUAAAAUUUUCAGAAUUUUAAUUGUGAUUGCUAUGAUAUUAAAGGAUUUCUAAACGUUGAUCGAAUUCAAUAUUGUAUUAUCUCAAAUAUUAAAUCAUAAAAUCGAAACUAACAAAAAAAAAAAAGAUGGUGAAUACUAUCGUUACACGUAUUGCAAUAUCGAAAAACCCUUGACAUUUGAAUACUGGGUCAGAGUUUAGGUAGGAAUAUAAUCUUUUGAAUAAAAUUGGUCUAUCGAAUCCUCGUUCCCCUUUAUCACGUUAUUUAACUCUGUUAACUUCAAUUAAUAAAUACAGAGAAAAAUUUCCUCAUUUCGUUUCUUUAUUGAAAUCGGAUAAGAGUGAGAGAUUGAGUUCUUAAAUAUACAUAAUUCCAGUAUAAUUUAUUCCGAUUAAUAGAAUGAGUAUGAGUAAGAAAUCCGAUAAAUAACAAAGACGGAGAUAAUAAGCGAAAUUAAA